AAGUCGUAACAAGGUUUCCGUAGGUGAACCUGCGGAAGGAUCAUUACCAAUGGAGCAGCGUUCAUUCGCUUUGCUACCAUCUCUGUUCUUUUGUGCUCUAUACAGUCCUGUGCGCGCCUAUGCGUCGUCACCGCGGUGAUGUAUGCGCAUAGGAUGCGAUAAAAACACACACACUAUAGGAGUGACUUUUGCUAGUCUUUGGGUCAUGAUCAUGAUGCUAGCUUGCCUAGCAUUGUGCACCUAUUAUAUUAAUGGGAUAAAGAUAACUUUUGGCAAUGGAUCUCUAGGCUCUC
rnacentral:misc_RNA from 1 species